GCUGUGUGCAGUUCUGUGCCCACCUCCUUUUGGAGAUUGCUAGGUUUAUCACAGCACUACCUUGUGUCCUGCUGGUCACUGCAGUACUUCUGGUGGUCCUCAGCAAGAGCCUGAGCUGAUGUGCAGGUCAUAAUGUGGGAGAAGAUACACUGAUUUAUUCUGUGGGAUCCAUAGGGAAGGUAGGGAUUCUGCCUUGCUUUUGUGCUUGGAGGGCUGCAAGGACCUGAGAGCCAAGACCUCAUUACUCAAGAAUCCCUGUGCCUGAAGGACAGCUUUAUCCAAUCUGGACAUUUUGGGUAUCUCACGUUCUGUGUCCAGCUGAGAGGAGUUUGGAUGGCAUCACCAUACACAGGCUAACAUGCAAUAGAAGAAACUCUUCCUGGGAGCUUUGUUCCUGGACCAGAGGUAAUUUCUCCGAGGCUGACAAUGUUGAAAAUUAAUAAUUCC